AGUGAACGCUGGCGGUAGGCCUAACACAUGCAAGUCGAGCGGAGAUGAGGUGCUUGCACCUUAUCUUAGCGGCGGACGGGUGAGUAAUGCUUAGGAAUCUGCCUAUUAGUGGGGGACAACAUUCCGAAAGGAAUGCUAAUACCGCAUACGUCCUACGGGAGAAAGCAGGGGAUCUUCGGACCUUGCGCUAAUAGAUGAGCCUAAGUCGGAUUAGCUAGUUGGUGGGGUAAAGGCCUACCAAGGCGACGAUCUGUAGCGGGUCUGAGAGGAUGAUCCGCCACACUGGGACUGAGACACGGCCCAGACUCCUACGGGAGGCAGCAGUGGGGAAUAUUGGACAAUGGGGGGAACCCUGAUCCAGCCAUGCCGCGUGUGUGAAGAAGGCCUUAUGGUUGUAGAGCACUUUAAGCGAGGAGGAGGCUACUGAGACUAAUACUCUUGGAUAGUGGACGUUACUCGCAGAAUAAGCACCGGCUAACUCUGUGCCAGCCGCCGCAGUAA
rnacentral:rRNA from 1 species